rnacentral:lncRNA from 1 species
CCUCGCAGAAAAACUAAGUCCAUUUAUAAGUAAAAUACGGAAAAAAUGGAAUUUUAUUUUUACAAAAUUUACUUCUGGAUACUUUCUUAUGAUCAUAAACAAGCUUCUGUCCAAGUUUGGUAGAAAUUCAGUAUAGUUUAAGAAAGUUAUUAAAAUUUCAAAAACUUUAACCACAGAGUGAAUAUUUGUGGACGCCGCCGACGACGACGGAAUGUAGGAUCGCUUAGUCUCGCUUUUUCGACUAAAGUCGAAGGCUCGACAAAAACAGAAAAAAAAAUCUUUCCCCCUUCAUAAAUGUGAUACAUAUUUUAACUAUUACACAAAAAUAGUAGUUUCUUCCUUCAUUGUUUUCUUAAUCUGGUUAAAAAUAUAAAUGAACAAGAAUGUGUCCAAAGUACACGAUUGCCCCACUCGCACUAUUAUUUUCCAUGUUCAAUGGACCGUGAAAUUGGUAAAAAAUCUAAUUUUGCAUUAAAAUUAGAAAUAUCAUAACAUAGGGAACAUGUGUACUAAGUUUCAAGUUGAUUGGACUUGAACUUCAUCAAAAACUACCUUGACCAAAAACUUUAACCUAAAAGUCUAAUUUGUCUUAAAAAUUAGAAAGAUCAUAUCAUAAGGAACAUGUAUACUAAGUUUCAAGAUGAUUGAACUUCAGCUUCA